UUUGGCUGUACUUCUGGUUUUCAGAAGAUCUCAUAGUUGAUUAGAAAAAUAAUCUGUUAAAACUUUCCAGGUCAUGAAAGCAUAUUGUUGGGAGAAAAAACAACAAGUUGGAAUUAAAAACAAACAAACCAAGUAGGCUAGGCAAGGUCUUAGGCGUGACUGGAACCAGCUGAAGAAAAUGUGGCCCCAUCAGAACGUUCAGCAAGUCUUUGUAAUAAAUGCCCUUGGCAAGCAAACACCAUCAGAGCAAGAACUACUUUCCAGUACCAUUGAGAGGAAAGCACUGGCAAGCACUGUGGAAAUGUGGGUUUAACAUUUCCUGGAAGCUGCCCAGCUGCUUGGCCAACGCUUGUUCCAGGUUCAGGGUCAUACCUUGUUCACUGUUGUUUCGAGGCAGUGAUCACAAUGUCCCCUCUUGUAUUUAUGACUUUGUGUAUUUCAAUCUUCUCUUUCUGUUCUUCAUUGAAUUUGUCUAUUUUGUUUAUGUCUUUCAAAAUUUAACUCAGAUUGAUUUGUUGUUUGAUUGAUUGACUUAUUGGUUACUUUUGUUUUUCUUCUGGUCUUUUUGUUAUCUUUUAAAACCAAUUU
rnacentral:lncRNA from 1 species